AGUGAACGCUGGCGGUAGGCCUAACACAUGCAAGUCGAACGGCAGCACAGCAGUAGCAAUACUGUGGGUGGCGAGUGGCGGACGGGUGAGGAAUACAUCGGAAUCUACCUUUUCGUGGGGGAUAACGUAGGGAAACUUACGCUAAUACCGCAUACGACCUUAGGGUGAAAGUAGGGGAUCGCAAGACCUUACGCGGAUAGAUGAGCCGAUGUCGGAUUAGCUAGUUGGCGGGGUAAAGGCCCACCAAGGCUACGAUCCGUAGCUGGUCUGAGAGGAUGAUCAGCCACACUGGAACUGAGACACGGUCCAGACUCCUACGGGAGGCAGCAGUGGGGAAUAUUGGACAAUGGGCGCAAGCCUGAUCCAGCCAUACCGCGUGGGUGAAGAA
rnacentral:rRNA from 1 species